rnacentral:rRNA from 1 species
AGUGAACGCUGGCGGUAGGCCUAACACAUGCAAGUCGAACGGCAGCACAGUAAGAGCUUGCUCUUACGGGUGGCGAGUGGCGGACGGGUGAGGAAUACAUCGGAAUCUACUUUUUCGUGGGGGAUAACGUAGGGAAACUUACGCUAAUACCGCAUACGACCUACGAGUGAAAGCAGGGGAUCUUCGGACCUUGCGCGAUUGAAUGAGCCGAUGUCGGAUUAGCUAGUUGGCGGGGUAAAGGCCCACCAAGGCGACGAACCGUAGCUGGUCUGAGAGGAUGAUCAGCCACACUGGAACUGAGACACGGUCCAGACUCCUACGGGAGGCAGCAGUGGGGAAUAUUGGACAAUGGGCGCAAGCCUGAUCCAGCCAUACCGCGUGGGUGAAGAAGGCCUUCGGGUUGUAAAGCCCUUUUGUUGGGAAAGAAAAGCAGCAGGUUAAUACCCCGCUGUUCUGACGGUACCCAAAGAAUAAGCACCGGCUAACUUCGUG